rnacentral:rRNA from 1 species
ACGGAGUUAGCCAGUGCUUAUUCAUAUAGUACCGUCAUUAUCUUCCUAUAUAAAAGGAGUUUACGCUCCGAAAAGUGUCAUCCUCCACGCGGCGUUGCUGCAUCAGAGUUUCCUCCAUUGUGCAAUAUUCCCC